rnacentral:rRNA from 1 species
UACGUAGGGUGCGAGCGUUGUCCGGAAUUAUUGGGCGUAAAGGGCUUGUAGGCGGUUUGUCGCGUCUGCUGUGAAAAUCCGGGGCUCGACCCCGGACUUGCAGUGGGUACGGGCAGACUGGAGUGUGGUAGGGGAGACUGGAAUUCCUGGUGUAGCGGUGGAAUGCGCAGAUAUCAGGAGGAACACCGAUGGCGAAGGCAGGUCUCUGGGCCACUACUGACGCUGAGAAGCGAAAGCAUGGGGAGCGAACAGG